rnacentral:tRNA from 1 species
GCCGCGGUGGUGAAACUGGUAGACACGCACGACUCAAAAUCGUGUUCCUGUGAGGGAAUGUGGGUUCGACCCCCACCCGCGGCA